rnacentral:rRNA from 1 species
CCUACGGGGCGCUGCAGUGAGGAAUAUUGGUCAAUGGACGAGAGUCUGAACCAGCCAAGUAGCGUGAAGGAUGACUGCCCUAUGGGUUGUAAACUUCUUUUAUAUGGGAAUAAAAUGUUCCACGUGUGGGCUUUUGUAUGUACCAUAUGAAUAAGGAUUGGCUAACUCCGUGCCAGCAGCCGCGGUAAUACGGAGGUUCCGAGCGUUAUCCGGAUUUAUUGGGUUUAAAGGGAGCGUAGGUGGAUUGUUAAGUCAGUUGUGAAAGUUUGCGGCGCAACCGUAAAAUUGCAGUUGAAACUGGCAGUCUUGAGUACAGUAGAGGUGGGCGGAAUUCGUGGUGUAGCGGUGAAAUGCUUAGAGAUCACGAAGAACUCCGAUUGCGAAGGCAGCUCACUGGACUGCAACUGACACUGAGGCUCGAAAGUGUGGGUAUCAAACAGGAUUAGAUACCCCAGUAGUC